UAAGCCUACACUAAGACUUUUG
rnacentral:miRNA from 1 species